rnacentral:rRNA from 1 species
UGACGAGCGGCGGACGGGUGAGUAAUGCAUAGGAAACUGCCCAGUAGUGGGGGAUAGCCCGGGGAAACCCGGAUUAAUACCGCGUACGCCCUUCGGGGGAAAGCAGGGGAUCUUCGGACCUUGCGCUAUUGGAUGUGCCUAUGUCGGAUUAGCUAGUUGGUGGGGUAAAGGCCUACCAAGGCGACGAUCCGUAGCUGGUCUGAGAGGAUGAUCAGCCACAUCGGGACUGAGACACGGCCCGAACUCCUACGGGAGGCAGCAGUGGGGAAUAUUGGACAAUGGGGGCAACCCUGAUCCAGCCAUGCCGCGUGUGUGAAGAAGGCUUUCGGGUUGUAAAGCACUUUCAGUGAGGAGGAAAAGUUGGUCGUUAAUACCGGCCAGCCUUGACGUUACUCACAGAAGAAGCACCGGCUAACUCCGUGCCAGCAGCCGCGGUAAUACGGAGGGUGCAAGCGUUAAUCGGAAUUACUGGGCGUAAAGCGCGCGUA